rnacentral:lncRNA from 10 species
GUCUGAGUGAUCCUGUCUGAUGAGGCUGAGGUGUUCUGCUGUUUUCUCAGGCUUGCCAGCAGCGUCUGGUGGCCUCCAAUGCUGCUGUCUUCAGUCCCCCUUGCUGACUGUUCUGACAGCCUUGCUGGCUGGCUCCGUCUGGCCCCAGGUCCUAGAAUCGAUCCUGAUGAUAGAAAGAUGUCUGCAAUCUCAGCCCGAUUCCCCAUCCAAUAGCUCUGAGAAUUCAAUCAAAUGCCCCUGCAGAUUCAGAAUGCCACGCUGUGCCACGUCUGCUAACUUUCUAUGCCUGCCAAUGUCCUUUGCUGCCAACCAGCUCCAAGGCACUGUUUCUUGACUCAUGCCUAGAACUCCACAGCUUCAAGGUAAGUGUCAGGACUGUUAGUUGCAGGUGAAUGAAAUCCCAACUCAAAUGACUGGAGCAAAGAUGGGAACGCAGGGUUGAGAGAGGGGAGGGUUGAUAUCUGGUCUGGUGGGUGUGGUGCUCAAGUGGUCUCCCAAGAAUCCUGCUCACAUUUCCCCUGGGGCAGCUUAGUUCUGGGGAAGCGCUCUUUUCACGGUGGUAAGUGGAUGUCGGUAUCUAUGGCCUUACCAACACUCACCUUCUCAGGAUGCCCACAGAAAGAAUUCCCCUUCCCCAACAGUUCCAAUAAGAGCCUUGGAAUUGGGCCAGGCAUGGUGGCUCAUACCUAUAAUCCCAGUGCUUUGGGACGCCAAGCCAGGAGGAUCUCUUGAGGCCAGGAGUUGGAGACCAGCCUGGACAACACACUGUGACCCCAUCACUACAAAAUAAAACAGAAAUUAGCCAGGCGUGGUGGUGCAUGCUUGUAGAAUCAGCUACUUGGGAGGCCAAGGCAGGAGGAUGGCUUGAACCCAGGAGUUUGAGGCUGCAGUGAGUUAUGACUGUGCCACUGCACUCUAGCCUGGGCAAGGAGCAAGACUCUGUCUCAAAAAAAAAAAAAAAAAAAAAAAAGGCUUUGAAUGGAGUCUCAUUUGUUCUAAUUGUCCUGGCCUGGAUAGCUUAACCACCCAGACGUCACUGUGGCCACUGCACGUGGUGCUCUGCAGGGACAGCCUAGGUCUCACGUCCACUUCUUGGGCCAGGAAUGAGGCUAGUGCCACAAAACCCUGGUGGAGUGAGGGUGAGAAGACAGGCAGACAUGGGGCAGGAAAAAGUGCAAAUGUCCACUUGAGCACUAAAAGGGGCC